rnacentral:rRNA from 1 species
UACAGAGGUGCCAAGCGUUAGGCGGAAUCACUGGGCUUAAAGCGCGCGUAGGCGGAUGUUUAAGUGUCUUGUGAAAUCCCACGGCUCAACCGUGGAACUGCUAGGCAUACUGGACAUCUUGAGGCACUCAGGGGCGAGCGGAACAAGUGGUGGAGCGGUGAAAUGCGUAGAUAUCACUUGGAACGCCAAUGGUGAAGACAGCUCGCUGGGGGUGUCCUGACGCUGAGGCGCGAAAGCCAGGGGAGCGAACGGG